rnacentral:rRNA from 4 species
GGAUGCGAUCAUACCAGCACUAAAGCACCGGAUCCCAUCAGAACUCCGAAGUUAAGCGUGCUUGGGCGAGAGUAGUACUAGGAUAGGUGACCUCCUGGGAAGUCCUCGUGUUGCAUUCCC